AGUUGCAGGUAUUAGACCCGAAACCGGGUGACCUAUCCAUGAGCAGGCUGAAGCGGUGGUAAGACACCGUGGAGGGCCGCACCCACGUCUGUUGAAAAAGCCGGGGAUGACUUGUGGAUAGCGGAGAAAUUCCAAUCGAACUCGGAGAUAGCUGGUUCUCCCCGAAAUAGCUUUAGGGCUAGCGUUAUUUUAGAUUACCGGAGGUAAAGCACUGAAUGGGCUAGGGGCCGCGAGGUUACCGAACCCUAUCAAACUCUGAAUGCCGGCUAAUUGAUGAAUAGCAGUCAGACUACGUGAGAUAAGUCUCGUGGUCAAAAGGGAAACAGCCCAGAUCUACAGCUAAGGUCCCAAAUGAACACUAAGUGGAAAAUGAUGUGAAACUGCGAAGACAACCAGGAUGUUGGCUUAGAAGCAGCCACUCAUUCAAAGAGUGCGUAAUAGCUCACUGGUCGAGUGGUUUUGCGCAGAAAAUGUAACGGGGCUAAGUGUUCAACCGAAGCUUAGGCAGACGCAAGUCUGGGUAGGGGAGCGUUGUAUGCGGGGUGAAGUCAGAGCGAAAGCACUGGUGGACUUCAUACAAGUGAGAAUGCCGGAAUAAGUAGCGAGAAUUAUGUGAGAAUCAUAAUGGCCGAAAAUCUAAGGUUUCUUGGGGAAGGUUCGUCCGCCCAGGGUAAGCCGGGAGCUAAGGCGAGGCCGAAAGGCGUAGUCGAUGCACAUACGGUAGAAAUUCCGUAACCACCGAACUUUAAGCAUAAGGGACGCUUUCAUUAAGUCUAACCCCGGCGAUGGUUGCCCGGGGCGAAAGGGACCGAAAAAUAGUAGGGAAGUAGAUGGCGUGAGAGACGAGAAAAGCUUAUGUGUAUACUAAGGUGCCCGUACCGCAAACCGACACAGGUAGAUGAGGAGAGUAUUCUAAGGCCAACGGGAGAAGGGUUGUUAAGGAACUCGGCAAAUUGGCCCCGUAACUUCGGGAUAAGGGGCGCCUGCGAGAGCAGGCCGCAGUGAAAAGGCCCAAGCGACUGUUUAGCAAAAACACAGCUCUCUGCUAAAUCGAAAGAUGACGUAUAGGGGGUGACGCCUGCCCGGUGCUGGAAGGUUAAGGGGAGUGCUUAGCGCAAGCGAAGGUGCGAACUUAAGCCCCAGUAAACGGCGGCCGUAACUAUAACGGUCCUAAGGUAGCGAAAUUCCUUGUCAGGUAAGUUCUGACCCGCACGAAUGGCGUAACGAUUUGGGCACUGUCUCAACAGCCCGCCCGGCGAAAUUGUAGUACCGGUGAAGAUGCCGGUUUCCCGCAACUAGACGGAAAGACCCCAUGGAGCUUCACUGUAGCUUGAUAUUGGAUCUCGGUAUUCCAUGUACAGGAUAGGUGGGAGCCUGGGAAGCAAGUGCGCCAGCAUUUGUGGAGGCAACCUUGGGAUACCACUCUUGGGGUAUUGGGAUUCUAACCUGCGGCCGUGAAUCCGGUCGGGGGACACUGUCAGGUGGGCAGUUUGACUGGGGCGGUCGCCUCCUAAAGAGUAACGGAGGCGCUCAAAGGUUCGUUCAGCACGGACGGAAAUCGUGCACUGAGUGUAAACGCAAAAACGAGCCUAACUGCGAGAAUGACGGUUCGAGCAGUAACGAAAGUUGGAGUUAGUGAUCCGGCGGUAU
rnacentral:rRNA from 1 species